UAUCGCCAGAAUACAUUAGCAUGGAAUAAUACUAUAGGAUCUUGGUUCUAUUUUGUUGGUUUCUAGAAUUGAGAUAAUGAUUAAUAGGGACAAUUGGGGGCAUUCGUAUCAACACGUCAGAGGUGGAAUUCUUGGAUUGUGUUGCGACGAACUACUGCGAAAGCAUUUGCCAAGGAUGUUUUCAUUGAUCAAGAACGAAAGUAAGGGGAUCGAAGACGAUUAGAUACCGUCGUAGUCUUUACCAUAAACUAUGCCAACUAGAGAUGGGGCAUCGUUCACUUACGACUUGCUCCGCACCUUAUGAGAUAUCAAAGUCUUUGGGUUCCGGGGGGAGUAUGGUCGCAAGGCUGAAACUUAAAGGAAUUGACGGAAGGGCACCACCAGGAGUGGAGCCUGCGGCUUAAUUUGACUCAACACGGGGAAACUCACCAGGUCCAGACAUAAUAAGGAUUGACAGAUUGAUAGCUCUUUCUUGAUUUUAUGGGUGGUGGUGCAUGGCCGCUCUUAGUUCGUGGAGUGAUUUGUCUGCUUAAUUGCGUUAACGAACGAGACCUUAACCUGCUAAAUAGGAGCGCAUAUCUUCGGAUAAGCGCCUUUCUUCUUAGAGGGACUUUAUGCGUUUCAGCAUGAGGAAGUUUGAGGCUAAAACAGGUCUGUGAUGCCCUUAGAUGUUCUGGGCUGCACGCGCGCUACACUGAUGCGUUCAACGAGUGUACAACCUUGCCCGAUAGGGUUGGGUAACCUUUUGAACACGCAUCGUGAUGGGGAUAGAUUAUUGCAAUUAUUAAUCUUCAACGAGGAAUUCCUAGUAAUGAUGGAUCAUCAGUUCAUCGUGAUUACGUCCCUGCCCUUUGUACACACCGCCCGUCGCUCCUACCGAUUGAGCAAUCCGGUGAAUAUUUCGGACCGAGACUCGUUUGGGCAACCUUACUUGUUUUGGAAAGUCAAGUUAACCUUAUUGCUUAGAGGAAGGAGAAGUCGUAACAAGGUUUCCGUAG
rnacentral:rRNA from 1 species